AUUGAACGCUAGCGGGAUGCCUUACACAUGCAAGUCGAACGGAGUGGCGAACGGGGGAGUAAUAUAUCUGAACGUGCCCAUUACCGGUGGAUAGCUACACGAAAUCGUAGCUGAUACCGCAUACUCUCAGAGCUGCCGCUCUCGGAUUAGCUAGUUGGUGGGGUAACGGCUCACCAAGGCGACGAUCCGUAGCUGGUUUGAGAGGACGACCAGCCACAAUGGGACUGAGACACGGCCCAGACUCCUACGGGAGGUAGCAGUGGGGAAUUUUGGACAAUGGGGGAAACCCUGAUCCAGCCAUCCCGCGUGUGUGAUGAAGGCCUUCGGGUUGUAAAGCACUUUUGGCAGGAAAGCGGUACCUGCAGAAUAAGCACCGGCUAACUACGUGCCAGCAGCCGCGGUAAUAC
rnacentral:rRNA from 1 species